AUAACUGUCCUCUGUACUCUUGCUGACUUUAACUUCCCAUAGGAAUCACAGAACCUGCAAAACUGGGGUUAAGGGAGUGGGAUGAGCUACUACAGCCCAGUGAGGAGGAACAAUAAAACAAUUCAUUAAUUACAUGUUCUCAUGAAAUGCAUCACAUCACAAACAUAUCAUCUCAAGGAUGAAUUUGUCACCAAUAACCCUUAACUACAUGUUAUAAUAAUGCCAACUGUGCCAAGGAGACUAUGUCAUCACCUGGUCUUCACUUAUCGCUCUGAGAUCAUAAC
rnacentral:lncRNA from 1 species